rnacentral:rRNA from 1 species
UUCUCCUACGGGACGCAGCAGUAGGGAAUCUUCCACAAUGGACGAAAGUCUGAUGGAGCAACGCCGCGUGAGUGAAGACGGUCUUCGGAUUGUAAACCUCUGUCUUUGGGGAAGAAAAUGACGGUACCCAAAGAGGAAGCUCCGGCUAACUACGUGCCAGCAGCCGCGGUAAUACGUAGGGAGCGAGCGUUGUCCGGAAUUACUGGGUGUAAAGGGAGCGUAGGCGGGCGAGAAAGUUGAAUGUUAAAUCUACCGGCUUAACUGGUAGCUGCGUUCAAAACUUCUUGUCUUGAGUGAAGUAGAGG